AGUGGAGUUGAUCCCUGGCCAGGAGGGCGGAGCCUUGAUGUCAUGGUGCCUUUUAUGAUCUGGGCAGUUUGGUGAUGAGUAAACCAAUCCUCUUCGCCAAGCACCAAGCCAACCGAAGGUGGGUGCCAUCAUAGCCAAGAUGAUGGUGAAGGUCAACCAUGGGUCCCUGUGAAUGUUGAUGGCUCGCCAUAGCUAUGGUGGUUGUCAUGUUGAACCUCGGCUACAACCUUCCUGUGAUGAACAACCCAAAAGAAGCAAGCCAACCCCAAGGUGGGUCCCACCAUAGCAAAGAUCAUGGUGAAGGUCAACGGCAGGUCCUAGUUAACAUCAAGCUCACUGCGCUGCAACCGCUAGCUCCCAGGCCUAAACCUGCUGUCAUUUGUUUGUGAAUACCAGUGGUGGGUAUUGUAGUUGAUUUGCUUUUGCUGUUUGGUUAGCUCCACUUGCAUUUUGGAUGAUAAUGGUGAUGUGUAUGUGCCCUGUCUUAUGCUCAUUUUCUUGUAUAAUUAGGACCAUCAUCUUGAUUCGUCUGCAUUUCAGUGUCAGCUAGUUUAUGGUUU